rnacentral:rRNA from 1 species
GAUGAACGCUGGCGGCGUGCCUAAUACAUGCAAGUCGAGCGAACGGACGAGAAGCUUGCUUCUCUGAUGUUAGCGGCGGACGGGUGAGUAACACGUGGAUAACCUACCUAUAAGACUGGGAUAACUUCGGGAAACCGGAGCUAAUACCGGAUAAUAUUUUGAACCGCAUGGUUCAAAAGUGAAAGACGGUCUUGCUGUCACUUAUAGAUGGAUCCGCGCUGCAUUAGCUAGUUGGUAAGGUAACGGCUUACCAAGGCAACGAUGCAUAGCCGACCUGAGAGGGUGAUCGGCCACACUGGAACUGAGACACGGUCCAGACUCCUACGGGAGGCAGCAGUAGGGAAUCUUCCGCAAUGGGCGAAAGCCUGACGGAGCAACGCCGCGUGAGUGAUGAAGGUCUUCGGAUCGUAAAACUCUGUCAUUAGGGAAGAACAUAUGUGUAAGUAACUGUGCACAUCUUGACGGUACCUAAUCAGAAAGCCACGGCUAACUACGU